AUGAACGCUAGCGGCAGGCUUAACACAUGCAAGUCGAGGGGCAGCAUAAUGGAUAGCAAUAUCUAUGGUGGCGACCGGCGCACGGGUGCGUAACGCGUAUGCAACCUACCUUUAACAGGGGGAUAACACUGAGAAAUUGGUACUAAUACCCCAUAAUAUCAUAGAAGGCAUCUUUUAUGGUUGAAAAUUCCGAUGGUUAGAGAUGGGCAUGCGUUGUAUUAGCUAGUUGGUGGGGUAACGGCUCACCAAGGCGACGAUACAUAGGGGGACUGAGAGGUUAACCCCCCACACUGGUACUGAGACACGGACCAGACUCCUACGGGAGGCAGCAGUGAGGAAUAUUGGUCAAUGGACGCAAGUCUGAACCAGCCAUGCCGCGUGCAGGAUGACGGCUCUAUGAGUUGUAAACUGCUUUUGUACGAGGGUAAACGCAGAUACGUGUAUCUGUCUGAAAGUAUCGUACGAAUAAGGAUCGGCUAACUCCGUGCCAGCAGCCGCGGUAAUACGGAGGAUUCAAGCGUUAUCCGGAUUUAUUGGGUUUAAAGGGUGCGUAGGCGGUUUGAUAAGUUAGAGGUGAAAUUUCGGGGCUCAACCCUGAACGUGCCUCUAAUACUGUUGAGCUAGAGAGUAGUUGCGGUAGGCGGAAUGUAUGGUGUAGCGGUGAAAUGCUUAGAGAUCAUACAGAACACCGAUUGCGAAGGCAGCUUACCAAACUAUAUCUGACGUUGAGGCACGAAAGCGUGGGGAGCAAACAGGAUUAGAUACCCUGGUAGUCCACGCAGUAAACGAUGAUAACUCGUUGUCGGCGAUACACAGUCGGUGACUAAGCGAAAGCGAUAAGUUAUCCACCUGGGGAGUACGUUCGCAAGAAUGAAACUCAAAGGAAUUGACGGGGGCCCGCACAAGCGGAGGAACAUGUGGUUUAAUUCGAUGAUACGCGAGGAACCUUACCCGGGCUUAAAUUGCACUCGAAUGAUCCGGAAACGGUUCAGCUAGCAAUAGCGAGUGUGAAGGUGCUGCAUGGUUGUCGUCAGCUCGUGCCGUGAGGUGUCGGGUUAAGUCCCAUAACGAGCGCAACCCCUACCGUUAGUUGCCAUCAGGUGAAGCUGGGCACUCUGGCGGGACUGCCGGUGUAAGCCGAGAGGAAGGUGGGGAUGACGUCAAAUCAGCACGGCCCUUACGUCCGGGGCUACACACGUGUUACAAUGGUAGGUACAGAGGGCAGCUACCCAGCGAUGGGAUGCGAAUCUCGAAAGCCUAUCUCAGUUCGGAUUGGAGGCUGAAACCCGCCUCCAUGAAGUUGGAUUCGCUAGUAAUCGCGCAUCAGCCAUGGCGCGGUGAAUACGUUCCCGGGCCUUGUACACACCGCCCGUCAAGCCAUGGGAGCCGGGGGUGCCUGAAGUUCGUGACCGCAAGGAGCGACCUAGGGCAAAACUGGUGACUGGGGCU
rnacentral:rRNA from 1 species